GGGCUAUUAGCUCAGUUGGUUACGAGCGCACCCCUGAUAAGGGUGAGGUCGGAAGUUCAAAUCUUCCAUAGCCCA
rnacentral:tRNA from 1 species